UAGAGCAGAGGUUCUCAAACUGUGGUCCGUGGACCACCACCAGCCUGCGAGCUCCAUUCAGGUGGUCUGUGGAUAGUUCCCUCUCAGGUGUGCGCCUGGGUGGCCGCAUACAAGAGAAUGAAGGACCACCCACCUAAUUAGUGGAGCCUCCCAGGCAUGCCUCCACUAAUUAGGUGCCUGGACCCUGAAGAAUGUAAGCUCCAGGGCUACGGCUGCCGGGGACAGACAGCCCUCCUUCCCAGCCCCAGCUCGGGGGCUACCACAGCGGGGAAGAGAGGGCACAUCCAUCACAUUAGAAAGCAAUAAAUGAUGUUGUCACUCCCACACACUGAUAUCUGUACGGAGCUAACCUCACCUUAUUCCAUCUGGACUGACUACCUAGAGAGGCAAGAAAUCCACAGGAUGCAGCUCUCUGACAGACUAUCAAAUCAUGGAGAAAAUAUCCUUGUACAUCAGAAGGUCAAGAUCAAUGGCCCGAGCCAGAGAAACAAUGGAUCUGCCCAGCCUUCUUUCUGGUUCUGGAUCUAAGACGGAAAUGAACUUAUAACCAUGGGGAAACCCAGCUGUGGAUUUUGAAGGACUGAAACCUACCAGAAUACUAGGUUGGAAAUGGGAGUGACCUCUAGUAAACUAUUUAGCAUAUGUUCAGGUUCUUUUAUUGUUUUAAUAUGUUUUCUCUGUAAGGCUAUUAUAAGAAUAA